UACGUAGGGCGCAAGCGUUGUCCGGAAUUAUUGGGCGUAAAGAGCUCGUAGGCGGUUUGUCGCGUCUGCUGUGAAAACCUAAGGCUCAACCUUGGGCUUGCAGUGGGUACGGGCAGACUAGAGUGCGGUAGGGGUGACUGGAAUUCCUGGUGUAGCGGUGAAAUGCGCAGAUAUCAGGAGGAACACCGGUGGCGAAGGCAGUUCUCUGGGCCGUAACUGACGCUGAGGCACGAAAGCGUGGGGAGCAAACAGG
rnacentral:rRNA from 1 species